AUGAAUUCCUUUGUUAUAAGAGCAGCUAAACCUUAUUUGGCCACUACAGGAGCAACUAUUAAUGGUUAUUAUGGAGAAAUCCUUUACAAGGGAGAUAGGUUAGUUACGUUUAUAUAUGAAAAAUCGAGAUCUAGUGACAUAAUGCAAGAUCUUCCAAAAGUGGAACAAAUCUUUGAAGCGCGUUCAAUUGAUUCAUUAUCCCCGAAUCUCGAAAGGAAAAUUGAGGAUUGGAAUGAGCGUAUACCAAGAAUUCUUGGGGUCCCUUGGGGAUUCUUGAUUGGAGCUGAGCUAACCAUAGCCCAAAGUCGUAUCUCUUUGGUUAAUAAAAUCCAAAAGGUUUAUCGAUCCCAAGGGGUUCAGAUCCAUAAUAGACAUAUAGAGAUUAUUAUACGCCAAGUAACAUCAAAAGUGCGGGUUUCCGAAGAUGGAAUGUCUAAUGUUUUUUCGCCUGGGGAAUUAAUCGGACUAUUGCGAGCGGAACGAGCAGGACGAGGUUUGGAUGAAUCGAUCUAUUAUCGGGCAAUCUUAUUGGGAAUAACAAGGGCUUCCCUGAAUACCCAAAGUUUCAUAUCUGAAGCAAGUUUUCAAGAAACUGCUCGAGUAUUAGCAUAA
rnacentral:rRNA from 1 species